AUGGAAUGGAUAAGGACUACAGAGAAAUUCUUCUCCAUGGUGUAUGUGCCCGAGGAGGCCAAGUGGGACUAUGCCCAAAUGUACCUAACAGGAAGAGCUGAUGUAUGGCUUAGAAACUCUAGCGUUUUGGAACAAAACCUGACAUGGGAACAAUUCUGCCAGGUAGUGCUCAAAAGAUUCUCGGGGGACAGUUCUUAUGAGGUAGUUGAGAAAUUCAACUCCAUCAAACAAGGCACCAACUCUGUUUCUGAGUACACCGACAAAUUUGAAGAGAAAAUGUCCUCUUACAAAAGAGAAAACCCAGGUGUCUCCAAAAGCUACUACAUCAAGUGUUACAUAAAUGGCCUGAAACCUGAGAUCAAACAUUACCUGAAACCAUUCAAGCCACAGACCCUAUAUGAUGCAGUUGAAACAGCUCGAGACAUGGAACUAGGAACUCAAGCCUAG
rnacentral:rRNA from 1 species